rnacentral:sRNA from 1 species
GAUCAUUACCGAGUGAGGGCCCUCUGGGUCCAACCUCCCACCCAUGUUUAUUGUACCUUGUUGCUUCGGCGGGCCCGCCUCACGGCCGCCGGGGGGCUUCUGCCCUCUGGCCCGCGCCCGCCGAAGACACCAUUGAACACUGUCUGAAGAUUGCAGUCUGAGCAAUUAGCUAAAUAAGUUAAAACUUUCAACAACGGAUCUCUUGGUUCCGGCAUCGAUGAAGAACGCAGCGAAAUGCGAUACGUAAUGUGAAUUGCAGAAUUCAGUGAAUCAUCGAGUCUUUGGACGCACAUUGCGCCCCUUGGUAUUCCGGGGGGCAUGCCUGUCCGAGCGUCAUUGCUGCCCUCAAGCACGGCUUGUGUGUUGGGCCCCGUCCUCCUUCCCGGGGGACGGGCCCGAAAGGCAGCGGCGGCACCGCGUCCGGUCCUCGAGCGUAUGGGGCUUUGUCACCCGCUCUUGUAGGCCCGGCCGGCGCUUGCCGACAACCAUCAAUCUUUUUUCAGGUUGACCUCGGAUCAGGUAGGGAUACCCGCUGAACUUAAGCAUAUCAAUAAGCGGAGGAA